rnacentral:rRNA from 1 species
CGCGCAGGCGGUCUUGUCCGUCAGGUGUGAAAGCUCGGGGCUCAACCCCGGAAGUGCACUUGAAACAGCAAGACUUGAAUACGGGAGAGGAGAGAGGAAUUCCUGGUGUAGAGGUGAAAUUCGUAGAUAUCAGGAGGAACACCGAUGGCGAAGGCAUCUCUCUGGACCGAUAUUGACGCUGAGGCGCGAAGGCGUGGGUAGCGAACAGGAUUAGAUACCCUGGUAGUCC